rnacentral:rRNA from 1 species
CGGUGGAGCAUGUGGUUCAAUUCGACGCAACGCGAAGAACCUUACCUGGGCUAGACAACGGUGGACCGUCCUAGAAAUAGUUUCCGCUGCGUCAGGUGUGACGAGCGCAACCCUCGUCCUUAGUUGCCACCGGGACGUCAAGUAUCAUGGCCCUUAUGUCCAGGCCACAUACAUGGGCGGUACAAGGGUUGCAAGCCCGCGAGGGGGAGCUUCCCAAAAAGCCGCUCUCAGUUCGGAUUGGAGUGCAACUCGACUCCAUGAAGUUGGAAUCGCUAGUAAUCGGGAUCAGCACGCCGCGGUGAAUACGUUCCCGGGCCUUGUACACACCGCCGUCACACCAUGGAAGCCAGCUGUACCGGAAGUCGGUGCGCCAACCCGCAAGGGAGGUAGCCGCCUAUGUAUGACUGGUGACUGGGGUGAAGUCGUACAAGGU